GAUGAACGCUAGCGGGAGGCCUAAUACAUGCAAGUCGAACGGUAACAGGGUAGCAGUACCGCUGACGAGUGGCGCACGGGUGAGUAACACGUACACAAUCUGCCUUAUACUGGGGCAUAGCCUUGGGAAACUGAGAUUAAUUCCCCAUAAUAUAUUGAAAAGGCAUCUUUUUAAUAUUAAAACUCCGGUGGUAUAAGAUGAGUGUGCGUCUGAUCAGCUAGUUGUUGGGGUAACGGCCUACCAAGGCAACGAUCAGUAACUGGUCUGAGAGGAUAAUCAGUCACACGGACACUGCGACACGGGUCCGACUCCUACGGGAGGCAGCAGUAGGGAAUAUUGGACAAUGGUCGCAAGCCUGAUCCAGCCAUCCCGCGUGAAGGAUUAAGGCCCUUUGGGUUGUAAGCUUCUUUUUUGGGGGAAUAAAAACUGGCGUUUACGCUGGCUUGAAGGUACCCCAAGAAUAAGCACCGGCUAACUCCGUGCCAGCAGCCGCGGUAAGAC
rnacentral:rRNA from 1 species